UUAUGAUGAGCAUUUUUAGAUGACGAGUCUGAUUGGAGUUUUCCAUGUUGACAACAUCAAAAUUAUACCAUUCAUGCCUUCUGAAU
rnacentral:ncRNA from 19 species